rnacentral:rRNA from 1 species
GACGAACGCUGGCGGCGUGCUUAACACAUGCAAGUCGAACGAGUGGCGAACGGGUGAGUAACACGUGGGUGACCUGCCCUGCACUUCGGGAUAAGCCUGGGAAACUGGGUCUAAUACCGGCUAUUGUGGGAUGGGCGCGCGGCAUAUCAGCUUGUUGGUGGGGUAAUGGCUACCAAGGCGCGACGGGUAGCCGGCCUGAGAGGUUGGACGGCCACAUUGGGACUGAGACACGGCCCAGACUCCUACGGGAGGCAGCAGUGGGGAAUAUUGCACAAUGGGCGGAAGCCUGAUACAGCGACGCCGCGUGGGGGAUGAAGGCCUUCGGGUUGUAAAGUACUUUCAGCGGGGAGGCGUUACCCGCAGAAGAAGCACCGGCUAACUCCGUGCCAGCCGCCGCGGUAAUAC